AUGACUCUCGGCAACGGAUAUCUCGGCUCUUACAUCGAUGAAGAACGUAGCAAAAUGCGAUACUUGGUGUGAAUUGCAGAAUCCCGUGAACCAUCGAGUCUUUGAACGCAAGUUGCGCCCGAAUCCAUCCGGUCGAGGGCACGUCUGCUUGGGUGUCACG
rnacentral:rRNA from 1 species